AAAAAAAUAGCAGAAGAGAAAAUCCAGAAAUAGACCCACACAAACAUGCCCAGCUGAUUUUUUUUUUUACAAAAGUGCAAAAGCAAUUCAAUAGAGGAAGGAUAGCCUUUCUGGGCUAACUGGACAACCUUGGAUCACAGACUUAAAUAUAAAAGGCAAUCCUGUACAACUUGGAGGAAAGCAGACAAUCUUCAGGACAUAGGGCUAAGCAAAGAGGUCUUAGACUUGACAUCAACAUUGAUACACUGAACUUCUUUAAAAUGAAAAACUGGCUCUUUGUUAAGAGGACAAAAAGAUUAGCUAGUUUGGGAGACAAUACCUGCAAACCACAUGUCCAACAGGAGACUAAUAUCUAGAAUACAUAUUUUAUUUUUUUUCAGUAGAGACGGGGGUUUCACCAUGUUGGCCAAGCUGGUCUCAAACUCCUGACCUCAGGUGAUCCGCCCACCUCAGCCUCCCCAAGUGCUGGGAUUACAGGCUUGAGCCAGCGUGCCCAGCCUAGAAUGUGUAAUGAACUCUCCAAACUUAUAGUAAAAAAGCAAACCAUCCAGUUCGAGCGUGGACACAGAAUAUGAAGAGAGAUUUCACCAAGAAAACCCACAGAUGGCAAAUAAGCACAAAGAAAGAUGCUCCACGUCACUGGCCAACAGGGAAACGCGAAUGAGGACCACAGCACCCUGCCAGCACAUCCCUACCAGGACGCGGCUAAAAUGAAAAACAGCAACUCCACCAAAUGCUGGUGAGGAUGCGGAAAAUCUGCAUCACCGUAGGGAUGCAAAAUGGCCCAGCCACUCUGAAAAACAAUUAGACAGUUUCUUUAAAAAAA
rnacentral:lncRNA from 1 species